UCUCAAAUUUUAAUAAUUUCUUAAAUAGUAAUCUGGAAAUUUAAAAUUUUGACGUUUAUAAUUUUUCAGAGGAAUAUGUAAUUUAAUCGUCAAUACACGUUAAUUUUACUUAUUUUAUUUUUGUAUAUCUCCGUUAUUAGAUUUUAUUAUAAAUUAUAAUAAAUUUCUUAAUAAAUUAUUUUAUUACAUCAGGUCAAGGUGCAGAAUAAAUAAGAUAUUAUGUAUUACAAUCAAAAAUUUUGGUAUGAAUAAAAUGUUGAAAAACUUUUUGAAAAUGAAUCUGAGAGUAAAAUUUUAUAAAACUUUAU
rnacentral:rRNA from 1 species